rnacentral:tRNA from 1 species
GGUGAUUGUAGCUCAGCUGGUUAGAGCGCUGGUUUGUGGCACCAGAGGUCGCCGGUUCGAAUCCGGUCUUUCACCC